GGAAGGAGAAGAAAGAAGAAGGAGAAGAAGAAGAAGGAGAAAUAAGAAGAAGAAGAAGAAGGAGAAAGCAGAAUAAAAAAAUAAGAAGAAGAAGGAAAAGGAAAGGAAGGAGAAGAAAAAAGAAGAAGAAGAAAAAUAGGAGAGGAAGAGAAGCAUAAGAGGGAAAAAGAAAAUAGUAAUAAUAAUAAUAAUAAGAAGAAGAAGAAGAAGAAGAGAAUAAGAAAAAAAAA
rnacentral:lncRNA from 1 species